UACGUAGGGUGCGAGCGUUGCCCGGAUUUAUUGGGCGUAAAGGGCGCGUAGGCGGUCACGCACGUCCGUUGUGAAAUCGCUCGGCUCAACUGGGCGGGGUCAGCGGAUACGGCGUGGCUGGAGCAAGCUAGGGGGCAAUGGAAUUCCCGGUGUAGUGGUGGAAUGCGUAGAUAUCCGGAAGAACACCUGAGGCGAAGGCGGCUUGCUGGGCCUGAUCUGACGCUGAGGCGCGAAAAGCGUGGGGGAGCAAACAGGG
rnacentral:rRNA from 1 species